GGAUGUAGACGACGGUGAAGCUGAUCUGUGAAAACAGACUCACAAACAGAAAACAGAGUUACAGAAAGAGAGAACAGAAUCUCUCGUGAGGGACUGUGUGGUGUUACUGGAGAUCAGUGAGGUCUUUAUGAGAAGCACCGUUCCAGUCAGAGAGAAAGACCAGCAGCGAUGUUGACCUUCCCAAAAUUGCAGCACUGGCUGGACCCAACCCAGCAUCAAGCCUCGAGUACUACAGUUCAGAAAGGGUGGGUAUUUGCACUGGUGGUUACUGCACAUGUAGCUGUGAUUGUGAUGUUAGUGGUGAAGAAUGUGCAGCUGAGGAGAGAAAAUCAGCAGCUCCGGGAGAAGAAUAAAGGGAACAGAAAGAAAAAAAGAAGAAAAAAAGAGACGGUCAUUCUCCAAUACUGUCCAGGAAGUCUGAGAGAUAAUCAAUAAUCAACGUCCCCCCCCACACUCCUCUCUCUCUCUCUCUCUCUCUCUCUCUCUCUCUCUCUCUCUCUCUCUCUCUCUCUGUGUGUGUGUGUGUGUGUGUGUGUGUGUGUGUGUGUGUGUGUGUGUGGUUGGUUGAUUGAGUAUCAGUGUGGAGUGACUAUAGAGAUUAUAUAGUGAGGCUGGGAAGAAUGUCAAUAUAAAAUAUCAACACGCUCUGCUAAAAUGUAUUAUAAUAACCAGGGCUGUAAUUAUUUAUGUUUUAGAAUAUUCUAAAGAAAAUUCUCAAAUAGUAAAAUAUGCUAUAACAGGAAAGAAUCUUAAGAUGAUUAAAUAGUUGUCUUAUCGUUAUUUAGUGUUACCUUUAUUAUUAUUGUUAUUAAUGUCAGUAUACUGCAAGAUAAAGAAAAAACAAUUGUUAAACAAUUAUUAUCAUAGCAAGCAGCAUAAAAUCCUGUUCUGGGGUCCGGCUCAUGCUGGCGACCCUCAGCAGGUUUUUCUGAGACUGUAGUGAGUCAGUGGUGAGCGGUGAGUAGGAGAGUAUUUAAAAUCAGACUAACUUAAAUUCUUAGCUUUUUGGUCACUUUUGGUCAGCCUCUCAAAAGCACUUUGCACCCAGGCAUAUGCUAGACUAAGCUGUGUUGGUCUUAAACCCCGGAGCCCCCCAUUUCCAAAAAAGUUGCAAUGCUGUGCAAACAAGGACAGCAUUUCAGAUAUUUAAAUAUGCCCAUUUUGAAUUUGAAGCCAUGUUUCAAAAAAGUUAAGACGGGGCAACAAAAGACUGUUAAAGUUGUGUAAUGCUAAACAAAACACCUGGUGGAACAUCUCACAAACAAUUAGAUUAUUGGCAACAGGUCUGUAUCAUGAUUGGGUGUAAAAGGUUUUAGAUGUAAACAUAAGGAGGGGUUCAAAUAGUGGGAUCAAAUAGUGGAACAAUUCAAGAAUAACGUUUCUCAAUGUAAAAUAGCAAAGAACCUGGGGAAUUCUUCAUUUACACAUAAAACCAUUAAAAGAUUCAGAGUACCUGGAGAAAUCUCUGUAUGUAUGGUAUAAGGCCGAAAACCAAUACAGGUUGGUCAUAAUCUUCGGGGCCACAGGCAGCACUGCAUUAAAAAUAGACAUGAUUCUGUAACGGAAAUCACUGCAUGGGCUCAGAAACACUUCUGAAAACCACUGUCUGUGAAAACAGUUCAUCACUGUUUCCACAAAUGCAAGUUAAAACUCUAAAACGCAAAGAAGAAACCAAAUAUAAACAGGACCCAGAAACACUGCCACCUUCUCUGGGCCUGAGCUCAUUUUAGAUGGACUGAGUGUAAAAGUGUCCUGUGGUCUGAUAAAUCAAAAGUUUAGAUUCUGUUUGGAAAUCAUGGACACUGUGUCCUCCGGGCUAAAGACCACUCAGCUUGUUAUCAGCACAGCCAACAUGAUGGUAUAAGGGUGCAUUAGUGCACAUGGCAUGGGUGACGUGCACA